AACGAACGCUGGCGGCAUGCCUAACACAUGCAAGUCGAACGGGAUCCAUUGCUUCGGCGAUGGUGAGAGUGGCGCACCGGGUGAGUAACGCGUGGGAACCUGCCAAUGAGUACGGAAUAACGGUUGGAAACGGCCGCUAAUACCGUAUACGCCCUACCGGGGGAAAGAGUUUUAUCGCUCAUUGAGGGUCCCCGCGUCCGAUUAGCUAGUUGGUGAGGUAAAGGCUCACCAAGGCGACGAUCGGUAGCUGGUCUGAGAGGAUGAUCAGCCACACUGGGACUGAGACACGGCCCAGACUCCUACGGGAGGCAGCAGUGGGGAAUAUUGGACAAUGGGGGCAACCCUGAUCCAGCAAUGCCGCGUGUGUGAAGAAGGCCUUAGGGUUGUAAAGCACUUUCACAGGUGACGAUGAUGACGGUAACCUGAGAAGAAGCCCCGGCUAACUCCGUG
rnacentral:rRNA from 1 species